CUUUGGAGCCCAACAACCUGGGAUGUCUGUUUCUGGAGCCUCGUCUACAUGUUCGUCAUUCGUUAUCCACUCUCCCAUUGAACAAGGACUCCUGGAUGUCAUCAGGGUCAAAAUCCACAAGGAACAUGAACGUUGAGACAUUCUCAGCCGUGGUUUUAAUGCAGUGGCUUCUGAUAGAGAAAAUUGAUUGUCCUUAUCAUUUGAUAACCUCUCUCUUUUCAUGAACGUGCCUCUAGAGCUCUGUGGAUGCUGCUUACGUGCUAGACAAAUGUCGUCAUGUGGCACCACCUCUGCAAGCCUGGGACCCCCCUCGCAGGCUCAGGGCAUAUCGCGGAAGAGGGGGCGUGUGAGAUUGUAAGAGCCAAGACGAGGGGUGGCACAUAUAGAUUUAGCUUCACCUGAAUGCCACCAUUGCGACUCAUCACUACCAUGUUGGCCCAAGAACUCAGGGUGGCUUUUCCUGAACACUUUGACUGCCACCAAAAAGAGACUUAAACCGUCAGUGUAGUUUAGGGGCUUUUCAACCAGAUCCAGUUCCUGGUUGUACCCCACCUUUAAAUAUUAGCAAAUGUGAACCAGAUCCAAGCCGGCAGAGUGAAGUCACUUUUGCCCUAAUCUGUACACCUGCCCUUCUUUCUGACCCACUGUGCCGGGACACAGGUGGUGGUUCAGUGCUCUACACCCAGCUUCCAUGGGAAGUCUUUGAAUAAACUGCUCUCCUCCCUAC